UACAGAGGGUGCGAGCGUUAAUCGGAAUUACUGGGCGUAAAGCGUGCGUAGUCGGUUAUCUAAGUCGGGUGUGAAAUCCCCGGGCUCAACCUGGGAAUUGCAUUCGAUACUGGAUAGCUAGAGUUCGGCAGGGGGAAGCGGAAUUUCUGGUGUAGCGGUGAAAUGCGUAGAUAUCAGAAGGAACAUCAGUGGCGAAAGCGGCUUCCUGGACCAGAACUGACGAUCAGGCACGAAAGCGUGGGGAGCAAACAGG
rnacentral:rRNA from 1 species